AACGAACGCUGGCGGCAUGCCUAACACAUGCAAGUCGAACGAGACCUUCGGGUCUAGUGGCGCACGGGUGCGUAACGCGUGGGAAUCUGCCUUUAGGUUCGGAAUAACUCCCCGAAAGGGGUGCUAAUACCGGAUGAUGUCGCAAGACCAAAGAUUUAUCGCCUAAAGAUGAGCCCGCGUAAGAUUAGCUAGUUGGUGAGGUAAAGGCUCACCAAGGCGACGAUCUUUAGCUGGUCUGAGAGGAUGAUCAGCCACACUGGGACUGAGACACGGCCCAGACUCCUACGGGAGGCAGCAGUGGGGAAUAUUGGACAAUGGGCGAAAGCCUGAUCCAGCAAUGCCGCGUGAGUGAUGAAGGCCUUAGGGUUGUAAAGCUCUUUUACCCGGGAUGAUAAUGACAGUACCGGGAGAAUAAGCUCCGGCUAACUCCGUGCCAGCAGCCGCGGUAAUACGGAGGGAGCUAGCGUUGUUCGGAAUUACUGGGCGUAAAGCGCACGUAGGCGGCUUUGUAAGUCAGAGGUGAAAGCCUGGAGCUCAACUCCAGAACUGCCUUUGAGACUGCAUCGCUUGAAUCCAGGAGAGGUGAGUGGAAUUCCGAGUGUAGAGGUGAAAUUCGUAGAUA
rnacentral:rRNA from 1 species